rnacentral:rRNA from 1 species
CUGAGUAGACCUUGGAGUCGGGUUGUUUGUGAAUGCAGCCCAAAGUGGGUGGUAAACUCCAUCCAAGGCUAAAUACUAGCACGAGUCCGAUAGCGAACAAGUACCGUGAGGGAAAGUUGAAAAGUACUUUGAAGAGAGAGUAAACAGUGCGUGAAACCGCUCAGAGGUAAACGGGUGGAGUUGAACUGUAAGCUCCGGGGAUUCAGCUGGUGAGUGUGUCAUGGGCUUGGUCAUUUUCGGCCGGCCUCUAGAGUCCGCUUAGCUGCGGGUCCUUGCUUCUUCGGGAGUAGGGAUGUGCGUUGCGCUUGUCAAGUGCUGUGCGCUCUGGAGGUUGCCGGGCUGGCUCGCCGGUGCACUUUCUCGGAGUGGUCACCACGACCGGCGUUGUUGUCUUACUGCUGUAGUCAAACCGGUCAGGUUUGGUCCUUGUGGCUGAGCUUGAUCGGGAUGGCAGGUAACUCAUUGGUUGGCUUGUCCAGUCUUUGGGUGUAAUCAGCUGACUGCAGUGGUUCUGUGCAAUACGUCGGAGACGGCGGCUCGAGGUAUUUGCUUAUGUGCCGUUGGCUGGCAGUGUCGGGUUUGACUAGCGUGUUUACCUGCUUCGGUGGGUCCGUUGGUAGCCCGGUGCUGUUCGGUUGGCGGUUGCGUUUGUGAUACCGCUCA